rnacentral:rRNA from 1 species
GACGAACGCUGGCGGCGUGCUUAACACAUGCAAGUCGAACGGAAAGGCCCUGCUUUUGUGGGUUGCUCGAGUGGCGAACGGGUGAGUAACACGUGAGUAACCUGCCCUUGACUUUGGGAUAACUUCAGGAAACUGGGGCUAAUACCAGAUAGGAGCUCCUGCUGCAUGGUGGGGGUUGGAAAGUUUCGGCGGUUGGGGAUGGACUCGCGGCUUAUCAGCUUGUUGGUGGGGUAGUGGCUUACCAAGGCUUUGACGGGUAGCCGGCCUGAGAGGGUGACCGGCCACAUUGGGACUGAGAUACGGCCCAGACUCCUACGGGAGGCAGCAGUGGGGAAUAUUGCACAAUGGGCGGAAGCCUGAUGCAGCAACGCCGCGUGCGGGAUGACGGCCUUCGGGUUGUAAACCGCUUUCGCCUGUGACGAAGCGUGAGUGACGGUAAUGGGUAAAGAAGCACCGGCUAACUACGUG